AAUUAAAAAAACCCUAAGUGUUCAUCAAAAAAAGAACAGCUAAAUUAAAUUGUGCUAUAUUUAAGUGAUAGAAUACUAUACAGUAAUGAAAAGGAAUGAAUUAGAUCAAUAUAUAACAACAUUGAUAUCAAAAACAUAAUAUUAAAUAAAAACCAGAUUGCAGAAUGAAUACAGUAACAUCAUUUAUGCAAACUUAAAAUCUAUAAAACGGUACUGUACCUUAUGUAUAACUACAUAAAUAGAGAGUAACAGUAUUAAAACAUGAACAAAAGUCUUUUUUCUAUGCGCUUUCUGUGGCAGGAACAGAGCUGUGAUUUGUAAAUUGAAGUGUUUUUAUAGUGUCUUUUUCUGCUUAGUGUUCUGCCUUACCUUUCAACUUUCCCCUAGGAUUUACGAUUGAUUGAUUGAUUGAUAUUUCCACUUUAACUCAUUCUUGCCAAAGGAUACCAAGAAAAAAGUAUUGACCAUGCUGAGUAACAAUGCACCCAGGGGGACCAGGGAGGGGGCAGCGUGGUAGUUGGAGUAAGAGAGAACCCCAAGGCCAUAAUUAUUUGGUGAUCUCUGCAAUUUUUCCAGAUGGAAGAAUACUCUUGUGUAAACAUGUCGGAUCUGUCAAAAGUACACGAAACCAGCUCCUUGCAAGUGUGAAAUAUCAGUUACAGUGCCACAUGUUCUGUGACAGUGCAAAGUGCAAAUUUUCAUCAUCGUAGAAGAGAAAAACAAAGAAAGACUGAGCCCUAGGCAGCGCUAGGCAGGAGCCACAGGCUUUCGGCUUGGGAGAAACAGUCUUCCGCCACCUGAAGUGAGCUAUUGGGUCACAGGACUUUGCAUUAAAAAAAAUCCAGAUUUCUUGAUUCUCUUGAAAGAUCAGAAGAUUUGGCACCACUGGGCUCACUGUACAGCAAUGGUAGGUAGCGGUUACCUGGUGGAGCUGCUCCCUUUAGGUGGAGUGUGUGCUCUCCUGCCAACCACGGUCUGCACCUAACAGGGCCUCUGUGUUACCUGCCUGAUUAUCAGAUUGGUAAUGCCUAGUUUAGGGCCAGACAAUGGUAUUUGUAUUUCUCUCCCUGACACCCUUUCUUCCCUCCAAACAUUUCAGUCCUGUGUUUCCAAAUAUAUUCAAAUUGGAACUUGGAGGACUUGCAAGUCAAGGCUGCUAGGGGCCCAGCAUCCUUCCUCAGGUCUUUGUUUUAUGUAGGGGUUAGGCAGGGUGUUUCAAUUAAAAUUACAGUCAGAAAGUCCUUAAAACCCUGCUGCCUCAGUGGCAGGAAUAUGGCCUUAGUACUCAUUCUUGGUCCUACAUGGCCGGGAAAGAUGGCUAAGUAGGAAUAGUAGAGUGCAUGAGGCAGUCAAAAACGAUUUUCACAAUUCUGAAUGCAGACCACACUCUAUUAUGUGUAACACUCACAGCAACAAUUCCCAAAGAACUAAGUCUAAUUAAGAAUUCCUGCUCAUUAUCUAGUGAGAAAGUAGAUUGGAAUGAGUCCCAGACCCCAUCCAUGCCUUUGGCGUGGGGGUGGGAGGGGGAAGGCUCUCCCAGCCAGGAUGAGGAGAAAGAGAGACCCUACAGCAGGUUCAAAUAGGUCACUCAGUCAAAAGGACUCCUUUCUACAUGGCAACCUCUCAGAAGGCUUCCUGUUCAACACGGUAGGUGGAGCGGAUUCAGACGAGUCAGUGCGCAUUGAAAGGCUCAGCUAUACUAGACGUUGGUGGACUAAGCAGAACACCUAUAACCACAGAUGGAAUUUCCCCAUAAAGAGAGCACGUGCAUGAUGUGAAUCCAGGGAUGUCGAGAAAGGAUGAGACAACAAUAUCCACCACCACCAAAAGUUUUCAGAAUUUACUUUCCAUCUCUACUUCCUCACCUGCUCGGUAGCCCACCACGAGAGAGCCAUUCUUUCAUAUUCAGGCACUAUCCCUAGGCGUUAUCUCCUUUUACAUAAACAUCUUUGGGAGAAGCUUUAAAAAAGCUUUUUAAAAAAAUGUUUACAGUCUGUGCCAGGCUCUGUCUUACGCGUGAAUUCGUGCCCAAGGUCAUGUAGCUGGUAAGUGGUCACCAGGAUUGGAGCUCCUCUAACUCCAAGUUCAUUGCUCCCUACGGUGAUUUUCAAUGUAUGAUUCUGGGACAACUGGGGGUCCUGGAGACCCUUGCAAUGAAUCCGAAAAUUCAGAUCUAUUUUCAUAGUGAUACUAGCACAGCAUUUGCCUCUUUUACUCUCAUUCUCUCAUGAAUGCGUGGUGGAGUUUUCCAGAGGCCACAUGACAUGGGAUUUCACAACGAAUCAAAUGCAGAAGCAGGUUUAAGAAUCAUCCAGCUGUCUCCUAUUAAGCCAGACACUAAAGAGGUUUGCAAACAUAAAACAAUGCCAUUCUUCUAAUGUUUUUGCUUGUUUGUUUGCUUUGGAGGUCUUUGAAGUCUUCAGUAAUUUUGAAGAGUGGAAAGCAUCCCGAGAUCAAACUAUUUGAGAAUCACUCUUCUGCGGCACAGCUAGCCUGGUGCCCAGCCCUCUUUAUCUGAGCGUGAGCUAGAUGAGAUGGAUUACAUGUCGUCAAAAUACGGUGCCAACUAACUUUGGAAUCAUUGAAAGCAACACUCCCAGAAGAAGGGAUGUAAAUACUUUAGGAUCACUUGGGGAGACACUCUUGGAAGGACACUUUAUCUUUGAGUCAUGAGCGUGACUUCCUUUAGAAGAGUAUGUGGGAAAAGCAAGCAUCAUCAGACCCACUCUUCAGAGUCAUAAAGGAAUAACCACCUGCUCCCUAAUGUGGGUCUUGGGAAAGGAAUGGAGUUAAUUCUCUCCUGGGUUCCAUGAGGUGAAAGAUCCUGGAAUGAAUUGUGAGGUAGCACUCCUGGGGCAGGCUGAUGUACUGAGAUGAGUCUGUGUAUGUGAACCAGAGAAUGAACUGGGAUCUUAAGGAGAGGGCACCCAUCGCUGUGCUUAGCACUGCUGGACAGGUAUUGGCCUCCCCAGCAGAUGCAGCAGCUGUCAGGAAUCCACAUCAAAGCAGUAUGAUCUCAAGGUGGGCCAAAAUGAUUUGGACUGUGGAGGGCCGGUCUUCAACAGUGACACUGUGUGACAAGAACUCAUGGCAGUGGCAGACAGAUCAAACCUAAUUCUCACUUCACUUGAAGGCGAAAGUAAGACUGAUCCUUUGGAUUGAGUAAUUCUGGAAGGGAUGGAGGAUGCAUUUUGCAAUUCCCAAUGUAAUAAUUGAUUCAGUCAAGGGCUGUAUCAAUGGAUACGAAAACCAUUAGGUGUAAUGUUGUUGAGGGAACAGCACAUUCGCCUGCUACCUACGUAUCACCCCACAGGUUGCUUACGAAUUGUAAGUGUAUCUUUACACCGGAGAGAUCUGGUGAUCAAAGUGAGCCCCACUAUUCCUGGUGGAAAUACCUAGCAUUCUGUGGCUCCUCAUAUGAUGCAAAAGUAUGUAAGAUACUUGUAAAGUGUUCUUGCCAAAUGUGUUUAACCUGCAUCUGAUCAAGCCUUUAGACCGAACUUCCGGAGGGGACAAAGGAGCAUGAGCAGGACAAGAGGAAAUAAUCAUACAAAUUCAGACUGUUUGCAUACACAGACUGCAUUGCCUUCAUGGCGGAUGGGUUGACUUAAUUCAAGAUCUUCCUGUCUCGACUUCAGUGCAUUUGUUCAGCAGCUGUGGAGGAGGACUGGUGAGCGCCUGCUGCUUACAUCACGCCUCAUCCAGCUGUCAGCCUGAUUUCUUCUGCAGACAGAUGUUUCAAAAUGACUGUGGGAGCUUUAUGCUUUGCCAGCCUGCGUGGAGUCUCAGAGCUUUAGGGCUGGAGAGACAUUUGGUUCCUAACCUGGGGUUCAGAGAGUCUUCCUUUAGUGACUGAGGAUGGGUUUCAGGGAUUCCAUGAACCCCUUUAAACGGUCUCCCAAAUCCAAGCUUUUUUUCCCCUAGAAAGUGUACCUGGCUUCCAGUAGAUGCUAAAUGAUUAUAACUAAAGAAAUUGAAGAGCCACUCAUCUGUCCAAACUCUAAACCCCACAUAACAGAUAGAGAAACUGAGAGAACAAAUUAGAGAAAAAAGCAGCUAUUGAAAUUUUUGGAAUGUCUGUAUACUUUACAGAACUGACCUGGUUUUCUGCUGCCGCAGACUGAGCUAAUGGCCCAAUAAAACUGCUUGAAUGAAAUAGAGCCACUAGGGAGCUUUUGCUGUCAGCCUCAAAGACCCGAAUAGCAGAGACAAGUCUGGUUGAAAUCCCUAAGAAGGCAGCAUAAUUUAGGAGCAGCCCCAGCAGUCUCGAGAAGCCAGUGACAUGGGCGAGACCAGUAGGUUCUUUUGUGUGGAUUACAUUUGAACCCUGGGAAAAAAAUACCAUUGAGGAAUACCUAUGUCAACAAAUUCCAUCCCUCCACCCACUUCUUUUGCCACCUGGCCCCUCCAACCCUGCUUAAAAAAAUGUGAGUCCCUUUGGCAGAGCUGACACAAAAAGAGGGCUCAGUUUUCUUUCUGAAACAGAGAAAGCACUCUAUCUGAUGAAGCAUUGCUGUGCUUACCAAAUAAGUAAGACAAGACGAAAAGAUCCUUUAAAUUAAACAUUGAGAAUGAUAGGGAUGUGUGGGGAGGUUGUAGAAUAAUUGUAACUAAGAACAAUGCCAUUUCAGUAAUUUUUGAAAGGCUUCCAGCAUCUGGGUGCUGGAUGCAAUGGUCUGGUGGGUCCUGAGGCUGCCUCUGCUCCCAGUUGUGAGUGGCUCUGGGUUGUGUGGGAUGCUGUCGUCUGCCUCCAAUAUCCCUUCUGCCACCUUCUCUUGCUGUCAGCUCUUCAUAAGCGUCCAGUGACCCAGGGGCCUACAAUGGAGCUCCCUAUAAGUAGCAUCUUUCCAUGACCGCACUGACUUUCUUGCCAAGUUCUAAAUAUCUCUUAGGGGACAUCUGUUGGAUAUUAUAUGCUUCUAUUAGAUUGGGAGCUGACUAAGGGCAUAUUCGGGUACAUCACAAUUGGGAAAAAUACCUUGGUGGGUGAAGCAUCUAUGCUCAUGGUCUCUAAAACACUUUUUGGCCCAGAUCCAACAGGUGUAAAAGGUCCCAUCUAUCUUCUACCUCAACCUUAUUUGUACUUGCCACUGCUUGGGCAAAGAACCAUCAUUCAUUUGUUCAUUCAUUCAAUUUGUCACUCAUUUGUUUUGUAAUUCAUUUGUGUGUUCAUUCAUGUAUUCAAUAAACGUUGAUUGGAUUGCAAUUGCAAUAUACGAUCGCAUCCCACCAGAAUAUUUCUAGGUUCCACAGUUGAGAAUCAACAUCUUCAACUUUCCUGUUUCCAUUAACUUGUUCCUAUGCUCUGUUUUGUGUGCCCUAAUUGAUUCUUCCUGCUAUAGUUAGCCCAUUCCAUGGCCCUUUUAACCCACUGGCAAGUCCCAUCUACUUCCCAUUUUGACUUCCGCUAUCAUAUCCCCUUUGGUGUCAUUUUCAGCUCUCACCUAGAUCAAAUUUUCUGGGCUCAACUCUUUCCACUUGUGACACGUUGGCAUACGCUCUAGUUGCUAUGAAUUACUUACCUGUUUUCCAGUGCUCUGUUGUAUCUUCAUGCUGUUGUGACUUUUCUUGGUCAUGCUAUACUUUUUGCCUAGAAUCCUUCCCCUCCUCCCUCUUUUGUGCCUUUGAAAUUCUACUCAUCCUUCAAGGUUGAGAUAUUUGAGCUCAAAUGUCAUCUCUUCUGAGAAGCCCUCCCAAACUUUUCUUCAACCCUGUGCUCCAGUUAUUGCAAAUUUGAACACAUAUUUAAAAAUCACAGUCUGAGGGCUGGCCUAGUUGCGUAGUGGUUAAGU